AACGAACGCUGGCAGCGUGGAUAAGACAUGCAAGUCGAACGGGAACUUCAGCUGUAGCAAUACAGUUGAAGUUUUAGUGGCGAACGGGUGCGUAACACGUGGGCAAUCUGCCGAGAAGUGGGGGAUAGCUCGCCGAAAGGCGAAUUAAUACCGCAUAUGAUCAGCUAAGACAUCUUAGCGACAUCAAAGCCGGGGCAACCUGGCGCUUUUUGAGGAGCCCGCGGCCUAUCAGCUAGUUGGUGAGGUAACGGCUCACCAAGGCUAUGACGGGUAGCUGGUCUGAGAGGACGACCAGUCACACUGGAACUGAGACACGGUCCAGACACCUACGGGU
rnacentral:rRNA from 1 species